CAAGGAAUUUUCGGCAAUGGGCGAAAGCCUGACCGAGCAACGCCGCGUGGUGGACGACGGCCUUCGGGUUGUAAACACCUUUUGCGAGGGACGAUUGUGACGGUACCUCGCGAAUAAGCCCCGGCUAACUCCGUGCCAGCAGCCGCGGUAAGACGGAGGGGGCAAGCGUUGUCCGGACUCACUGGGCGUAAAGGGUGCGCAGGCGGCACGGCACGUUCGCGCUGAAAUCCCACGGCUUAACCGUGGGGCGCGUGCGAAUACGGCCGAGCUCGAGGCAUGGAGAGGAUAGGGGAACUCCUGGUGUAGUGGUGAAAUGCGUAGAGAUCAGGAAGAACAUCCGUGGCGCAAGCGCCUAUCUGGCCAUGACCUGACGCUGAGGCACGAGAGCGUGGGGAGCGAA
rnacentral:rRNA from 1 species